UAGGGAAUCUUCGGCAAUGGACGAAAGUCUGACCGAGCAACGACGCGUGAGUGAAGAAGGUUUUCGGAUCGUAAAACUCUGUUGUUAGAGAAGAACAAGGACGUUAGUAACUGAACGUCCCCUGACGGUAUCUAACCAGAAAGCCACGGCUAACUACGUGCCAGCAGCCGCGGUAAUACGUAGGUGGCAAGCGUUGUCCGGAUUUAUUGGGCGUAAAGCGAGCGCAGGCGGUUUCUUAAGUCUGAUGUGAAAGCCCCCGGCUCAACCGGGGAGGGUCAUUGGAAACUGGGAGACUUGAGUGCAGAAGAGGAGAGUGGAAUUCCAUGUGUAGCGGUGAACUGCGUAGAUAUAUGGAGGAACACCAGUGGCGAAGGCGGCUCUCUGGUCUGUAACUGACGCUGAGGCUCGAAAGCGUGGGGAGCAAACAGU
rnacentral:rRNA from 1 species